AAGGAUGUGUUUUGCUAAAUGGUCCACUCCACUUACUGCGUCAUUGGUAAAGCCCACUGAGUCAGGCUGUGUGAAAAACCGUUUAAAAAGUCAGCAGCCAUUUCUUAGCAUUGGUCAACCGUGUACAGCAGACUUAGAUAAGAGCUUGAAGGAUCUUCCAUAGUGGUGUGUGUUGUCUGAUGGCUUUAAGUCAAGUGGGGAGUUCAAAGAGUGACAGCUGCUGAAUGUGAUGUGAAGGUCAAGGUUAUUUCAAUCAAACAGUUGCCACAGAUGACCAUAAGACUACAGUAAUGGCCAGUAGAUAUCUGUCACAUAAAGCUACAGGUA